UCCCUGGUGAUUCAGUGGUUAAGACUCUGCACUUCCAAUGCAAAGGGUACAGGUUCGAUCCCUGGUUGGGGGA
rfam:Ovis aries breed Texel chromosome 1, whole genome shotgun sequence.